AUAAGUUUAUCACCACCGACUAUUUGCAACAGUGCC
rnacentral:rRNA from 1 species